UAUCAUCAACCGAUUAUCUUUAUAUCAUUAUCUGCGUUGGACAUAUAGCCGAUUGCUCAAAACCCUACUGACAUAGGCUAAUAUCGGCUAUCGGCUGGAAUUACACCAUCGGCUUGUCAGCCGAUCGGUUGUUUUGUCUGUUGUUUACAUAUCUUGUAAGUUGCAGGGUCAAACUGACUGGCAUGCCUGUAUCUCAUCAACUUUUGGUCCUGUACUGGAGUUAAGCAGAUCUCCCCGGCCAAUGUGUGUUUUUCGCAUCAACACUAGCUUGUAGUUGUUGCGCAACACUUUUUUUUAAAAAAUCUAUCCAUAGAUUUGCCGAACAUUGUUGUACCUAUAUAUAAAUCAUAUAAAAAAAUAUGUUAAAUAAAAUAUUAAUGAAACUGACUACAACUCAGUAUAUUUAUUUGCAGUUUUGAAAUUAUUAUUUUCAGACAACAUUAAGAAUUACUCCAUGCGACCAAGAUUGCUUGACGUUUUACUCCCCUAAUGUGUUCUCCCUGAAUGCUUGAUGUUUUGGUAGUGAAGUACUAGCAUUGCUUAUAUCAGUGACACUACUUAAUUAACUCUAUCCUUAAAAUAUUCCUUGUGUGGAAGGCGUGGCUCGUGCCAACUCCCUAAUUGAAAUGACAAUCUGCAACGAAGUACUAGUAAUAAUUUAGGGCAACUUAGUAAUUUUUACCUCUAGCUAAUGUAGCCCAACAAUCCUAGGACGAUGGCAUGUUGCCAUAGAGGGAGUGUUACAUUAUGGAAAAGAUGCAAUCACUACUACAUGAAAGAUUUUUCCGUGCGGGUUGAAUCGAUUUUCACGUACGGAGCUUCCACCUGUCUGGAAGAGUGCGUCUGCGAAAAUCCCGAUUUUUUCGUGUGGGUGACGUACCCGCACUCAAAAAUCGAUUUUCGCGUGCGAGCGCUUAGGCCGCCCGCACGGGAAAAAAACAAAAAAAAAAUCAAAAUCCACCCGCAAACCCUAACCUAGCCGUCAUCGUCGCCGCCACCACUGCCGACGCUGCUGCCUUGCCCGAGGCCUGUCGUCGUCGUUGUCGCCGCCUUGCCCGAGGCCCGCCGCCCUCUUCCCCGCGGUCACCGGCGACGGAUCCGGCCUCCCCGCGGCAGUAGGCGACGGAUCCGGCCUCCCCCCGGUAGCCGGCGACGGAUCUGGAACAUGGAGGCGUAGGGGAGGAGGGAGUCGUAGCAGAAGUCCGGGUACCGCGAGGUCGCGCAGCGGGCUCGGAGGAACGUCGUCGCCGACGCUGCGCUCGCCGAUGUUGCCGCCACGUCGUCAUCCCAGCGGUGGCAGGCCGUGGAUCCGACCUCCCCGCGGCGGCCGGAGACGGAUCCGGCCUCCACGUGGCGGCUCGAGACGGAUACGCUCCACCACCUCCGCCGCUGCCAUCGAUGCCGCCGCCUCUGCCGCCCUAACCGAGGGCGCCGCUGUCGCCAGGGUGGAGAGGGAGGAUGGGGAGGAGGAGAGGAAGAGGGAGGAUGGGCAGGAGGGAGGAUAAGAGGAAUAAUGGCAGCCCG
rnacentral:lncRNA from 1 species